rnacentral:rRNA from 1 species
UUAACACAUGCAAGUCGAGGGGCAGCAUGAACUUACCUGGCUCUUUUAGAUGGCGACCGGCACACGGGAGAGUAGCACGUAUCCCACCUGCCGAUGACUCGAGGAUAGCCUUUCAAAAGAAAGAUUAAUACCCGAUGGCAUAGUUCUUCCGCAUGGUAAAACUAUUAAAGAAUUUCGGUCAUCGAUGGGGAUGCGUUCCAUUAGGUUGUUGGCGGGGUAACGGCCCACCAAACCUUCUAUGGAUAGGGGUUCUGAAAGGAAGGUCCCCCACAUUGGAACUGACACACGGUCCAAACUCCUACGGGGGGCAGCAGUGAGGAAUAUUGGUCAAUGGACGAGAGUCUGAACCAGCCAAGUAGCGUGAAGGAUGACUGCCCUAUGGGUUGUAAACUUCUUUUAUACGGGAAUAAAGUGAGGCACGUGUGCCUUUUUGUAUGUACCGUAUGAAUAAGGAUCGGCUAACUCCGUGCCAGCAGCCGCGGUAAUACGGAGGAUCCGAGCGUUAUCCGGAUUUAUUGGGUUUAAAGGGAGCGUAGGCGGACGCUUAAGUCAGUUGUGAAAGUUUGCGGCUCAACCGUAAAAUUGCAGUUGAUACUGGGUGUCUUGAGUACAGUAGAGGCAGGCGGAAUUCGUGGUGUAGCGGUGAAAUGCUUAGAUAUCACGAAGAACUCCGAUUGCGAAGGCAGCUUGCUGGACUGUAACUGACGCUGAUGCUCGAAAGUGUGGGUAUCAA